UCCCUGGAGGACUAGUGGUUAAGCCACAGCACUCGCACCACCAUGGCCUGGGUUUGAUUCCGGGCCAGGGAA